rnacentral:misc_RNA from 1 species
AAGGAUCAUUACCGAGUGAGGGCCCUCUGGGUCCAACCUCCCACCCGUGUCUAUCGUACCUUGUUGCUUCGGCGGGCCCGCCGUUUCGACGGCCGCCGGGGAGGCCUUGCGCCCCCGGGCCCGCGCCCGCCGAAGACCCCAACAUGAACGCUGUUCUGAAAGUAUGCAGUCUGAGUUGAUUAUCGUAAUCAGUUAAAACUUUCAACAACGGAUCUCUUGGUUCCG